rnacentral:rRNA from 1 species
AUUGAACGCUGGCGGCAGGCCUAACACAUGCAAGUCGAACGAGUCGCGGACGGGUGAGUAAUAUCUGGGACACUGCCUGAUGGAGGGGGAUAAAUAAUGGAACCGGUAUCUAAUACCGCAUACCAUCAGAUGUGCCCAGAUGGGAUUAGCUUGUUGGUGGGGUAACGUCUCACCAAGGCGACGAUCCCUAGCUGGUCUGAGAGGAUGACCAGCCACACUGGAACGGAGAAACGGUCCAGACCCAUACGGUAGGCAGCAGUGGGGAAUAUUGCACAAUGGGCGCAAGCCUGAUGCAGCCAUGCCGAGUGUAUGAAGAAGGCCUUAGGGUUGUAAAGUACUUGCAGCGGGGAGGCGUUACCCGCAGAAGAAGCACCGGCUAACUCCGUGCCAGCAGCCGCGGUAAUAC